rnacentral:rRNA from 1 species
UACGUAGGGUGCGAGCGUUAAUCGGAAUUACUGGGCGUAAAGCGUGCGCAGGCGGUGAUGUAAGACAGUUGUGAAAUCCCCGGGCUCAACCUGGGAAUUGCAUCUGUGACUGCAUCGCUAGAGUACGGUAGAGGGGGGAUGGAAUUCCGCGUGUAGCAGUGAAAUGCGUAGAUAUGCGGAGGAACACCGAUGGCGAAGGCAAUCCCCUGGACCUGUACUGACGCUCAUGCACGAAAGCGUGGGGACAAACAGG